rnacentral:rRNA from 1 species
CCUACGGGUGGCAGCAGUGAGGAAUAUUGGUCAAUGGACGCAAGUCUGAACCAGCCAUGCCGCGUGCAGGAUGACGGCUCUAUGAGUUGUAAACUGCUUUUGUACGAGAGUAAACGCAGACACGCGUAGCUUUCUGAAAGUAACGUACGAAUAAGGAUCGGCCAACUCCGGGCCAGGAGCCGGGGGAAUACGGAGGAUUGAAGCGUUAUCCGGAUUUAUUGGGUUUAAAGGGUGCGUAGGCGGGCGGAUAAGUUAGAGGUUAAAUCCCGAGGCUCAACCUCGGAAGUGCCUUUGAUACUGUUCGUCUAGAGAGUAGUUGAGGUAGGCGGAAUGUGUGGUGUAGCGGUGAAAUGCUUAGAUAUCACACAGAACACCGAUUGCGAAGGCAGCUUACCAAGCUACUUCUGACGUUGAGGCACGAAAGCGUGGGGAGCAAACAGGAUUAGAUACCCCUGUAGUC